AUCUGAAGGAAUACCGGUGGCGAAGGCGGCCCCCUGGACAAAGACUGACGCUCAGAUGCGAAAGCGUGGGGAGCAAACAGGAUUAGAUACCCUGGUAGUCCACGCCGUAAACGGUGUCUACUUGGAGGUUGGGACCUUGAGUUCUGGCUUUCGGAGCUAACGCGUUAAGUAGACCGCCUGGGGAGUACGGUCGCAAGAUUAAAACUCAAAUGAAUUGACGGGGGCCCGCACAAGCGGUGGAGCAUGUGGUUUAAUUCGAUGCAACGCGAAGAACCUUACCUACUCUUGACAUCCACGGAAUCCUUUAGAGAUAGAGGAGUGCCUUCGGGAACCGUGAGACAGGUGCUGCAUGGCUGUCGUCAGCUCGUGUUGUGAAAUGUUGGGUUAAGUCCCGCAACGAGCGCAACCCUUAUCCUUGUUUGCCAGCACUUCGGGUGGGAACUCCAGGGAGACUGCCGGUGAUAAACCGGAGGAAGGUGGGGACGACGUCAAGUCAUCAUGGCCCUUACGAGUAGGGCUACACACGUGCUACAAUGGCAUAUACAGAGGGCGGCCAGCCAGCGAUGGUGAGCGAAUCCCAGAAAGUAUGUCGUAGUCCGGAUUGGAGUCUGCAACUCGACUCCAUGAAGUCGGAAUCGCUAGUAAUCGUGGAUCAGAAUGCCACGGUGAAUACGUUCCCGGGCCUUGUACACACCGCCCA
rnacentral:rRNA from 1 species